rnacentral:rRNA from 2 species
UACAUGCAAGUCGAACGAACUCUGGUAUUGAUUGGUGCUUGCAUCAUGAUUUACAUUUGAGUGAGUGGCGAACUGGUGAGUAACACGUGGGAAACCUGCCCAGAAGCGGGGGAUAACACCUGGAAACAGAUGCUAAUACCGCAUAACAACUUGGACCGCAUGGUCCGAGCUUGAAAGAUGGCUUCGGCUAUCACUUUUGGAUGGUCCCGCGGCGUAUUAGCUAGAUGGUGAGGUAACGGCUCACCAUGGCAAUGAUACGUAGCCGACCUGAGAGGGUAAUCGGCCACAUUGGGACUGAGACACGGCCCAAACUCCUACGGGAGGCAGCAGUAGGGAAUCUUCCACAAUGGACGAAAGUCUGAUGGAGCAACGCCGCGUGAGUGAAGAAGGGUUUCGGCUCGUAAAACUCUGUUGUUAAAGAAGAACAUAUCUGAGAGUAACUGUUCAGGUAUUGACGGUAUUUAACCAGAAAGCCACGGCUAACUACGUGCCAGCAGCCGCGGUAAUACGUAGGUGGCAAGCGUUGUCCGGAUUUAUUGGGCGUAAAGCGAGCGCAGGCGGUUUUUUAAGUCUGAUGUGAAAGCCUUCGGCUCAACCGAAGAAGUGCAUCGGAAACUGGGAAACUUGAGUGCAGAAGAGGACAGUGGAACUCCAUGUGUAGCGGUGAAAUGCGUAGAUAUAUGGAAGAACACCAGUGGCGAAGGCGGCUGUCUGGUCUGUAACUGACGCUGAGGCUCGAAAGUAUGGGUAGCAAACAGGAUUAGAUACCCUGGUAGUCCAUACCGUAAACGAUGAAUGCUAAGUGUUGGAGGGUUUCCGCCCUUCAGUGCUGCAGCUAACGCAUUAAGCAUUCCGCCUGGGGAGUACGGC